AGAGAAAGAAACUAGGAGAGAGAACGAGGGAAGAAGAAUGAGAGAGAGGAAGAGAGAGGAUAUUUAGAGAAACAUGGAACGAACUCAUCUGGAAGUAACUUUUCACUGUAGUCCGGUUAAUCUUUGGGUGUGAGUAGUUAGAGCGUUUUGUUGACUCGGGUGCAAAAUACGAUUUAGGUUCUGAAGCUGUGGAGUUUAAAAAUCCUUAAACAAAUCGCGUCACUUUUUGAGAGGCAGAGAUGCCCUUGUUUGUAGGAGUAACUUCAAUUAUUUUCAUUCUUGUCUAAUGAUCACUUUGCUGUCUUUGUGGAAGAAGAAAAGAAAGCUUAUAUCAGCAGCGAUCGUUCCAGAAUUAGCAGCUUCUCCAUCCAGCCCUGUGGACUGUGGAACAGAGCUCCACACACACGCACCUGUAGUUCAGAAUCCCUGGUGAGGGUGAGCGCAGCAGCAACAACAGUCAUGAAUGAGGAGAUGUCGUCUAUAUACCCGCGCACCAAGGAGCUGUCCAGGACAAGGAAGUCUCUUUCAGACUCAUCACCACCCUCCUCACCCUCUCCCACCGCCAAGAACUUCAGACAUGAACGGGCAUCCAGGUCGAACAGUGGGGACAGCAGGGCCGAACCUCUGGGCAGAACCAGCUCCUACACACGCAGGGAGACCAGACUGGCAUCAGUGUCCAAGCAGGAGGAUGACUCAAGCCCCAGGGACUACAAGAAGAUGUAUGAAAAAGCUUUGGCAGAAAAUGACAAGCUGAAGUCACGGCUGGAUGAGAGCAAACAGGAGCUGGCCAAGAUCCGCAUCCAGCUCGACAGAGUUGCCCAGAAACAGGACAGAAUAUCGGAAAGAUCCAAUGUACUUGAGUCAGAGAAAAGGGAAAAACAGGCUCUGGAGAAGAGGGUAACAGACAUGGAGGAAGAGCUUAAGCAGGGAACCCCCCCAGUGCGAAACUUCCGCUGUGGGUACCAGCCCUGAACCCUAACCCCGGGGCAGGCUGGCUCAGGGCAGGGUAGGGGGGGGCCCGGGAUGGUCCUAACAGAGCUCAAAUCAGAUAACCAGAGACUGAAGGACGAGAACGGGGCUCUUAUCCGUGUCAUCAGCAAGCUGUCCAAAUAACAGGGUGGAUGCCCUUUGUCCAGAGCCACAGGGUACUUCCCUGUCACCAUCAUCAGACCCCGCCCACUGAGAGUACACCAUGGUUCUUAAUGACACCUGUCACCAUCUAAAUGCUCUCAGAGGUAUGGUGAGGAACAUUCGAAUUCCUGAUGACCCCUUGAUAUCUGUGCUCAUAAGACCAACUCCAGUCCCGGGAGGUCAAAGGUGAGCGGAAGAGCACACAGUGUGUGAGAGUGUUGACCUGGAGUCCAGUCAGUUCAGAACCAGCAUUCUCUUUAUCGCACAUCAACAUAUUUAUACCUUACAUAUGAGUGUAUUCAGUUAUUUUGUGCUAAAUUGUGCACUGCAAAAAAACAUAUUUCUUUUGCUUAUCCUCAAACAAUAGGCCCACUCCUAUUGUGUUUCUUUCAAUAACCUUUCAUGACACUGAUACCAUUACACAAUGCCAUUCAUGUUUCCACUAUCUUGUGUUAUGAGGUGUUUAUAAUCUAUAGUUCGUAGUUCAAUUAAAAUCCACAUUUCCAUCACAGACCAUGUUCUCUGAGCUUCUCAUCAAACAUUUACUGUUUUGCAGACAUUUUGUGCGGCCUACAUGGUAGGCUGCUAUGUUAUUUGGAUAUUUGUUUGUAUUUAUUUAUUUUAUCUUUAUACUUAACAUAACUAUAUUUUAACUAAAACAUUAUUGAUAACCUCCCAAAGCACUCAAUGAAACAGUAACAUUACAGUCCAAAUAGUGCCUCCUGUUAUGAGACGGAAAGCAUCUUUUUUUACUCAAGGUCAAAGGAAUUACAUGAUUUGUAAUGCAGAUGGCUCAAGGAACAACACACAAGGGCUUUCUUUACAUUUACUGUAAGUCAUUUAACAGAUUAUUUCAUUCAAAGCUAAUUACGGGAGCUAUUAAGUGCCUUGCUCAAAGGCGCAACAACAUCAUUUUCACCUCGUCCGCCAUUGGAUUGGAACCAGCUACCUUUGGGUUACCAGUGGGUUACACAGUGCUCUGGCCACUAGGCUUUCUGCCCCCUCUUAUAUGUGUAAUACAUGUGCCUUUCCUAAAAGACCGAUGAAGGUAUCUGUCUACACAGUAUUUUACGUUGAAACAACUCUGCCGUCUACGUAUGUAUGUAUUGUCAACUCAAAUUGUACUUGUACACAUGCUGUUUGAUCACUCGCUCAAUAAAUACUAGAUGAUUAAACGUGA